rnacentral:rRNA from 1 species
GAUGAACGCUAGCGACAGGCCUAACACAUGCAAGUCGAGGGGCAACGGGGCGUAGCAAUACGCUGCCGGCGACCGGCGGAUGGGUGAGUAACGCGUAUGCAACCUGCCUUCAGCAGGGGGAUAGCCCGUUGAAAGACGGAUUAAUACCCCAUAACACAGGGGCUCCGCAUGGAGAUUAUUGUUAAAGGGAUGCUUCCUUCGGGGGUAUUCCGGCUGAAGAUGGGCAUGCGUUCCAUUAGGUAGUUGGUUGAGGUAACGGCUCACCAAGCCUGCGAUGGAUAGGGGAACUGAGAGGUUGGUCCCCCACACUGGUACUGAGACACGGACCAGACUCCUACGGGAGGCAGCAGUGAGGAAUCUUGGUCAAUGGACGGAAGUCUGAACCAGCCAUGUCGCGUGAAGGAGGACGGCCCUAAGGGUUGUAAACUUCUUUGACCGGGGACGAAAGAAGUGACGGUACCCGGGGAACAAGCCACGGCUAACUACGUG